rnacentral:snRNA from 1 species
AUAUCUUCUCGGCCCCAGUGGCUAAGAUCAUCUGAAGUAUCUGUUCUUAUCAGCUUAAUCUCUGGUAGUGAGGCCUCCCAUGUGCCUCACAACUCAAGAUUAGACUUAUUUCUUGUGGGCGCCCCUGGUACCACGCCCUCCAGCUAUGCUGUGGCAGUCCAGGGAGCAGCGAUCGGCUUCACACUUGCACUCUUGUGAAGUUCUUCAAACGGUCCACCCCUU